UGGAUAGGAAUUGCAAGAAUUUAUUUGGAUUUACUUUGGCACUACAAAUGUUUUCUCUUGUCACAAAAAGAGAAGAAAUGGAAAAUCUGAAUUCUCUUGACGCUGAGGAGAACACGUUUCUAUUCCCUUUGACUGUAAAAAUAGAAAAUAGGGAUGAAGUGACCUGUUCCUACCCUACUCCUUUUCUGCAAUGCCCUUGGCUGACAAAGACCCAGCAAAGAACAUUGCUCUGAUUUAGACAUUGUAUGUUGGUCAUUCCAAAAGUAAAGCUUCCUAUUUAUUUCAAUGGAAACUACAACAAACACAAAGAGCACAAUAACACUAUUUGAUAGAGCAAAUUCUCAGCUACAAAACAUUAUCUUUCAACAUAGUCACCACCACAGAGCCAACAUCAUCCCAGUGUCCCAGCUCAUGGAUUCAGAGAGAAAUUCUCUGUCCAGAACAGGGUGAACAAGUCUCCGCGUUCCUGUGCUUUUGAAAUAUAUAAGAUUUAAUUCCUUCUACUUGCCCAUCGGACUUAAAAAGCAAAAAAACACCGCACUGUGUUCUUUAGAUGCCACAAAGAACCCAAGUCUGGCAGAGCUGAUGCCUUUUCUUUAAGGUGUGGAAGAAAACAGGGCAAACGUUCUUAUUAAUCUAUGAUGAAUACCUGGAACCAUGGAACCACUAAAAAAAAAAAAGCAUAAAACCUUGUGAUUUCACUGGGGCUGAAUGGCAGAUCUGGGGCACUCAUCCAGCUACACAAAGCAGCAGCACCUUCCCAGCAAUUGCAGUAAAAUGAUAGUGAAGUCAUUUUGACUGGGGACACGGGCCUAAUAAAUGAGGUGGCAUUGGACGCAAUGACCAUUGAAGGACAUCUUGCCAUCUGGCUCAUAGGAGCUAGAAAAAUGCUCAGUAACUUCUGGGUCUUCAGUUUUUCAGCAUUUUUUAGGGACUCCAUUCAGAGUUUGCUUCCCAAAAACACUCAGCAACUGCCUGCUGAAAGUCACUCCUCCUCAGUGGGGAAUUGAACAUUCAGAUAAAGUUUUCACCAUGAAAAUAAAACAAAAACAAAUCCAGUUGACAAGUAUAAAUGUAGAGCCAUUGCAAUGCCUGAAUCGCUUUGGGUAGGAUAGUGAAAUGCAUGGCUUCACCCUCACAGAGAGGCUCGCUGUGGCAGCAAUCGUAACACUUCCACUGAUCUUUUGAAAUAAUUUGGAGAUAGUCCUGUGAAAUGAUGGUGCACAUAAGGCAUUUUAGCCACACUUGGUUUUCAAGGGUUAACCCGGAUUGUGGAACCCAAGUGAAAGUUUUAAAAUACUGCUGCCAUGGAGAGCAAAUGCCUUCAAAGAGCCUAUAGCGUAUGGUAUUUAAAAGAGCACUGAAACAAUGUUCUGGUUUGAAUUAUUUCUCUUCACAGUACUUCUCUAACUUCAUUGCCAAAGAAAAGACUUCCAGAGCCAAUUUUUAAUCUUAAUUAUAGCAGAUUCACUCUGGACUAUUUCCCUUGAAGUUGGAGUUACACCAGAUUUACACAAUGCAGAAUCUGUCCCAGUUUCCCCAUUAGACACUUCUUGUUUGUUUCCAAAAGAUAUUUGAGUCUAAAAGCAGAAAUGUAUGACCAGCACAGCCACCAGUUUGAGGGCCAAAGCCUACCUAGAUGCUCCCAUUGCCUCAUUCUUGAAUCUCCCCUGAGCCAUUGCUUCCCAUCUAUGGUUGGGAGAAGCGGGGCCAUGCCUGCCUUCUCCUUCUCUCACUUUCUCAUUUCUCCCUCUGCAACCACCCCACUCAAGUGAAGUGCAAACAACUAAGCGCCCUAAAGGACUCUCGACAAUGGACAGGCAAAUAAACACGUAACUGGAGCAGCAAGUACUCCCUGGAGAACGAGAUGAGGGACAGGCUAAAACCUGUUGACCUCAGACAAAAGGAAAAGCCUCAUUACUCAUUUAUCGAAGUAAAGGGAGAAAGGAUUUUCCUCUACUUUUCAGCGCGUCAGUCCCUCCUACCUAAAGGAAGCCUCUGGCCACCUCCUGGAACUGCUCUAGCUACAAAUUCUUGAUUUCCUCCGUCUCAGAUCAGGGUUAUAAGGAUAACCUCAGUGUCACUUCUGAGAGCAGGAAAAGCGCAGCGCUGCAAGAAUGGCAGCUCCUGCUGACGCACCUCCAGCACAGCCUCAGUGCUGCAGCAAAGGAGCAGCUCAAUUCAUUUCCCAGUCCGGAGCCUUUGCUGCGUGUGUCAGCACAGAUGUUUAUUAUUCCAAUUCCAAAUGGCUGAACUACUUUUGAAGAGCACUGGGCAAAACUUGUAGCAUAGGAACCCCAGUUUUCAGGCUUUUAGGAGGCACUGAAGGCUUUCCCUCCUCUUCACCCACAGGAGGGGUGAGACACACACUCAGAAUCUCUCCACGUCACAUGAAAGGAAGGACAGUGCUUUGUUUGCUGUAGUAUUUGAGAGCAGAAAACAUCUGGGGAAGAGAAAGAUCCUUUCUGAAAGUCACUUGCUACUCAGAAACUGUGGCUUUAGCUUCAGUUGUUCUACAGCAGACUGUUCCAAAGAGAUGUGUACCAGAGGAAGAGUUACCAUGGAAUGGUGCCCUCCAGAGCCGGGCACCCGACGGUGCUCAAUCACCUCAGUCCUUCCUCACCCAUGCGAGAGACGUGUGGUAGACACGGGCAGCCCAGGCACGUCCAAGGGCCCAAACCCAGGCUGGCUGUGCUCAGCAUAAGGGCAGUGGUGCCUCGGGCAGCCCUGCAGCAGGCAGCUCCCCUGGGCAGACCUGAGGGUCCCGAGCACAGCAGCCCGGAGGUGUAAAGCCCACACCAAUAGGAACCGGCCACAGGAACAGAGCAGCAUGGCUCGGCUGUGCCUGCGUCCUACUGCAAACAUUUAAUUGCUACGGUUCCAAAGAACAAAGGCGAAAAUAACGGUCUGGGGACCUACGGAUCGAAACCAAACCUGGGCUGAAUCAGCAGAGAAGGUCCCUUGGUUUCGGAGGGAAAACAUCUCAUUUGCGGCGGGGCAGAGACUGCUCUCGUAGCUUUGCUCGCCGCAUACCCAACAGCCCGGGAGCUGCACAGGGCCGGGCCC
ensembl:lncRNA